rnacentral:miRNA from 1 species
UGAGCCGCUUUUGGAUGUGACG